rnacentral:rRNA from 1 species
GUAAGACCCCAGAAAGACUAUCUGGUUGAUAGGUCGAAGGUGUAAGUGCAGCAAUGUAUUUAGCUUAUCGAUACUAAUAGGUCGAGGACUUGACCAA